GAUGAACGCUGGCGGCGUGCCUAAUACAUGCAAGUCGAGCGAACGGACGAGAAGCUUGCUUCUCUGAUGUUAGCGGCGGACGGGUGAGUAACACGUGGAUAACCUGUCUAUAAGACUGGGAUAACUUCGGGAAACCGGAGCUAAUACCGGAUAAUAUUUUGAACCGCAUGGUUCAAAAGUGAAAGACGGUCUUGCUGUCACUUAUAGAUGGAUCCGCGCUGCAUUAGCUAGUUGGUAAGGUAACGGCUUACCAAGGCAACGAUGCAUAGCCGACCUGAGAGGGUGAUUGGCCACACUGGAACUGAGACACGGUCCAGACUCCUACGGGAGGCAGCAGUAGGGAAUCUUCCGCAAUGGGCGAAAGCCUGACGGAGCAACGCCGCGUGAGUGAUGAAGGUCUUCGGAUCGUAAAACUCUGUUAUUAGGGAAGAACAUAUGUGUAAGUAACUGUGCACAUCUUGACGGUACCUAAUCAGAAAGCCACGGCUAACUACGUG
rnacentral:rRNA from 1 species